rnacentral:rRNA from 1 species
CGCGUAGGCGGUUUGUUUAGUUAGGCGUGAAAUUCCUGGGCUUAACCUGGGGACUGCGCUUAAUACAGGCAGACUUGAGUUCGGAAGAGGGUCGUGGAAUUCCCAGUGUAGAGGUGAAAUUCGUAGAUAUUGGGAAGAACACCGGUGGCGAAGGCGGCGACCUGGUCCGAUACUGACGCUGAGGCGCGAAAGCGGUGGGGAGCAAACA